GUCUACGGCCACGCCACCCUGAACAAGCCCGAUCCUGUCUGAUCUCAGAAGCUAAGCAGGGUCGGGCCUGGUUAGUACUUGGACGGGAGACCACCUAGGAAGACCAGGUGCUGUAGGCG
rfam:Pteropus alecto contig26864, whole genome shotgun sequence.